AGCACAUAUGAGUGGAGGAUUUUUAUUUCCUCCACUCAUACUUAACCACAUUAUUUCAUUCUCUUCCUUACAAGAAAACCUUAGCCUCUAUGGAUGGAGCUUGAAGCCUUAGAUAUUGACCUUGAUCUUUGAGGCCCUUCCACUUACUUUAGACCAUAAAGCUUGGAAUAUUUUUUAUUCCCCUCAUCCUCCUCUUCAAAACCCUUGAAGGAUCUAGCCUAACUCCUAGUUUUGCUUUUGUAUCUAGAGAUUCAAUUCUCUAGUGAGGUACAGGACUCAGGAUUUAAAGAUUCCAUUGCUCCUUGGAUGGCUUACAGUUUCUAAGUUUCUAUUUUAUGCAAGCGUUAGCAUAAGAUGCCUCUUUGUAGCCCUAUUUGUUUAAACUUGUAUUCGUUGAUUCGUAUAUGUAAAGUGUCCGUAAGUGCACUCUUUUCAAUGUAUUUAACAUGUAUGGGAUGAGGCCGGAGGCCAAUGGCAUGUAUCUCAUUUUCUAUGCACUUUUGUUUUCAAAGUUUAUUAUGAAAAUAUUAGAAAAUGUUAA